rnacentral:rRNA from 1 species
UUACCCCGCAAGGGGUAACUGAGUGGCAAACGGGUGAGUAACGCGUGGGUGACCUGCCUUCGAGUGGGGGAUAACGUUUCGAAAGGAACGCUAAUACCGCAUGACAUCCUGCCUUUGGACAGGCGGAGAUCAAAGCCGGGGAUCGUAAGACCUGGCGCUUGGAGAGGGGCCCGCGUCCGAUUAGCUAGUUGGUGGGGUAACGGCUCACCAAGGCGACGAUCGGUAGCCGGCCUGAGAGGGCGGACGGCCACACUGGGACUGAGACACGGCCCAGGCUCCUACGGGAGGCAGCAGUGGGGAAUUGUUCGCAAUGGGCGCAAGCCUGACGACGCAACGCCGCGUGGAGGAUGAAGGUCUUCGGA